rnacentral:rRNA from 1 species
AUACAUGCAGUCGAGCGGAAGAUGGGAGCUUGCUCCCUGAGGUUAGCGGCGGACGGGUGAGUAACACGUGGGUCCCUGCGUGUCUAGUGGGAGACUCCUGGAAACCGGGGCUCUUACCGGAUGCUUGUUUGAUGACACGGGUCAAACAUAUAACGUGGCUUCCGCUGCCACUUACAGAUGGACCCGCGGCGCAGUAGCUAGUUGGUGAGGUAAUGGCUCACCAAGGCAACGAUGCUUAGCCGACCUGAGAGGGUGAUCGGCCACACUGGGACUGAGACACGGCCCAGACUCCUACGGGAGGCAGCUUUAGGGAAUCUUCCACAAUGGGCGAAAGUCUGACGGAGCAACGCCGCGUGGGUGAUGAAGGUUUUCGGAUCUUAAAGCUCUGUUGUUUGGGAAGAACAACUACCGUUCGAAUAGGGCGGUACCUUAACGGUACCUACCCGAAAAGCACCGGCUAACUACUUCCCACCUCCCGCGGUAGUACGUAGUUGGCAGGCUUUGUCGGGAUUUAUUGGGCGUAAGCGGCUCGCUAGCGGUUACUUAAGUUCGAUGUGAACCCCCCCGGUUCACCCGGGGAGGCUCUUUGGAAACUGUAGAACUGAAGGGCGUAGAAGUACAUGGGAAUUCCUGUUGUGCGUGUGAAUGCGUAGAAUAGUGGAAGGAACAACCAGUGGCCAAUGGGACUCUCUGACUGUAACUGACGAUGAGUAGCGAAAGCGUGGGGAUCGAACACGAGUAGAUACCCUGCUUAGUCCACAGCUGUACACGAUGACUGCUAAGUUGUUACCAGGUUUACCGCCCUCUUAGUGCUGACAGCUGACCGCACUAAGUGACUCCGGCUGGGGAGAUACGAGCCUCAAGACUGAUAACUCANGAGCACUUGACAGGGGCCGGACAAAGUCGGAUGAGUCAUGUGCUUUANUCGAGCAUCGCUACCANCGUACCNNUCUNGACAUCUUCUGAGCAUCUAAGAGAUA